rnacentral:lncRNA from 1 species
GCAGACGGAGGGCACCGUACUCUGGGCACUAGCUUCACUGCCUACUACCCCGAGGUGCCUUAGCUCGUAAGCGUCUGUGGCUCAGGCCCUGUGCGCCUCGCAGGGACCCGCUGCUCGGGACCCCCGUCUCAGCGGCUCUUCUGUAGCUGGGCCUAGACGGUCCGCUGCCUCCUUGGGCCUGAAGGGCUCCUCUGCACUUAAACUUUGGUAAGUCUUUUUAGCCUAGGGGUGUAGACUCGUCGCGCGGGAGCCCGAAGAGCAGAAAGCUCUCCCCUCACUUUUGGAUGUGUUUUUCAGGGUUCUUGCCUUGGAGUUCUUCCUAGGGCAAACUCUUGCACUCCCAUGGCUUCCGUUACCUACUUCAUGCUGACCAUUCACAACCCAGGCAGCUACAUGGACGAGAUCUCCAGCUGUCCUGAUGUGAAAGUACCUUUUAAUGAUCUCAAGUUCAUCUCAUCUCCUAUCCAGACCGGAAAACUUGAGGAUCCUUCUAGAGUUCUUUUCCUUGCCAAUCCAGUUUACUGGUUUUUGACCAUUCUUUUCGUUUUUGGUGGUGGUGAGGGGCUUUUUAUUGAGGUAAAACAUGCGUAAUGUUUAUUACUUUAAUCAUUUGUAAGUGUAAAACUUGAUGGUCUUGAACUCUGGAGUUAAAGUGAUCCACCCUCCUCAGCCUCCCAAAGUGCUGGGAUUACAUGUGUGAGCCACUGCUCCCAGCCUUUCCCUCUUUUUAAUGUAGUUAUUUACAACUAUACAUUUCACUUUGAUCACUGUUUUCACUACAGCUCAUAAGUUUUUGUAUGUUGUGUUAUUUUCAUUCAUUUCUAAGUAUUUUCUAAUUUCCCUUUUGAUUUCUUCUUCUUUUUUUUUCUUUUUUUUGAGAUGGAGUUUCGCUCUUGUUGCCCAGGCUGGAGUGCAAUGGUGUGAUCUCGGCUCACCGCAACCUCCGCCUCCUGGGUUCAAGCGGUUCUCCUGCCUCCGUCUCUAAAGUAGCUGGGAUUACAGGCAUGCGCCACCACACCGGGCUAAUUUGAUAUUUAGAGAUAUGGAGACGUGGUUUCUCCGUGUUGGUCAGGCUGGUGUCGAACUCCCGACCUCAGGUGAUCCACCCGCCUUGGCCUCCCAAAGUGCUGGGAUUACAGGUGUGAGCCACCGUGCCUGACCUUGAUUUCUUCUUUGACCCAGUUGUUAAGAGUGUUGUUUAACUUUCAGAUAUUUGUGACUUUUCCAGUUUUCCUUCUGUUAUUAAUUUAUAACUUCAUCUGUGUGGUCCGAGAAGAUACUUUGUAUGAUAUCUAUCUUGUAAAAUAUUAUGAAACUUGAAUUGUGGCAUACAGUCUGGUGAAUACCUCAUGUGCUUUAGAGAAGAAUGUGUAUUCUGCUCUUGCUGGGUGGAAUGUUCUGUAUAUGUCUUUUAAGUAUAGCUGGUUUAUUAUGAUGCUUAGUUCCUCUAUUUCCUCACUUAUCUUCUAUCUGAUUCUUCUCCCCGUUACUGAAAAUGGGGUAUUGUAGUCUCCCACUAUUAUUGUAGAACUGUUUAUUUCUCCUUUUAAUUCUGUCCAUUUUUGCUUCAUGUAUUUUGAGAGUCUGUUCCUAGCGAGGUAAAUGCCUAUAAUUUUUAUAUAAUCUUGUUGUAAUGAGCCUUUUAUUAAUAUAUAAUGUCUUUGUCUCUUAUAACCUUUUCAAAUUUUAAAAUCUAUUUUGUCUAAUGGUAGUAUAACUACAUCAGCUCUUUUUCAGUAACUAUUUGCAUGUUAUAUCUUUUUUCAUUAAAUUAUUAUUAUUAUUAUUAUUAUUAUUAUUUGCGAGGGAGUCUCACUGUGUCACCCAGGCUGGAGUGCAGUGGUGCCAUCUCAGCUCACUGCCACCUUCGCCUCCCGGGUUCAAGUGAUUCUCCUGCCUCAGCUCUGGAGUAGCUGGGAUUAUGGGCGCCUGCCACCAUGCCCAGCUACUUUUUGUAAAUUAUUAUUAUUUUCUGUGACAGAGUCUUGCUCUGUCGCCCAGGCUGAAGUGCAGUGGCAAUCUCGGCUCACUGCAACCUCCACCUCCUGGGUUCAAGCCAUUCUCCUGCCUCAGCCUCCCAAGUAGCUGGGAUUACAGGUGCACGCCACCAUGCCCAGUUAAUUUUUGUAUUUUUAGUAGAGAUGGGGUUUUACCAUGUUGGCCAGGCUGGUCUCAAACUCCUGACCUCCCACCUCGGCCUCCCAAAGUGCUGGGACUACAGGCGUGAGCCACUGUGUCCAGCCCUUUUUCCUUGAAUUAUUGAAAAAAAAAUUUUUUUGUAGAGACCGCGCCUUGCUAUGUUCCUCAGGCUGCUCUUGGACUCCUGGCCUCAAGCUAUCUUUGGUCUCCCAAAGUACUGCGGUUGUAAGCCACUGUACCUGGCCCUUUUCCUAACCUUUUCUUUUCUUUUCUUUUUUUUUUUUUUGAGACAGAGUCUCGCUCUGUCACCCAGGCUGGAGUGCAGUGGCGUGAUCUCGGCUCACUGCAAGCUCCGCCUCCCGGGUUCACGCCAUUCUCCUGCCUCAGCCUCCCGAGUAGCUGGGACUACAGGUGCGUGCCACCACACCCGGCUAAUUUUUUUGUAUUUUUAGUAGAGACAGGGUUUCACCAUGUUAGCUAGGAUGGUCUCGAUCUCCUGACCUCAUGAUCCGCCCACCUCAGCCUCCCAAAGUGCUGGGAUUACAGGCGUGAGCCACCACGCCCGGCCUCUAACCUUUUAUUUUCAAUCUAUUUGUGUCUUUGGAUGUCAAGUGAUUCUCUUGUAGACAGCAUUUAGUUGGAGCAUGUGGAUUGUGUGUGUGUGUUUAAAAUUAAUUUUCCCUUUCUUUUUAAAAAUUAAAUAUAUUUUUAGAGACAGGGUCUCACUCUGUUGCCCAGGCUGGAUUGUAGUGGCAUGAUCACAGCUCACUGAAGCUGGAACUCCUGAGCUCAAGUGGUCUUCUCGCCUCAGCCUCUCAAAGUAGCUGGGACUACAGGUGUGCAACACCACACUUGACGCCUUUAUUUUAUUUUAUUUUAUUUUAUUUUUUGAGACAGAGUCUCACUCUGUUGCCCAGGCUGGAGUGCAGUGGCGCAGUCUUGGCUCACCGCAGUCUCUGUCUCAUGGGUUGAAGCGAUUCUCUUUCUCAGCCUCCAGAGUAGCUGGGACCACAGGCAUGCGGUCCCAUCAAGCAAUCCGCCUGCGUUGACCUUCCAGAGUGCUGGGAUUAUAGGCAUGAGCCACUGUGCCCGGACUUGACUCCUUUCUGUCUUUAGAUUGGAGAGUUUAACCUUGACUCCUUUCUGUCUUUAGAUUGGAGAGUUUAAACCAUUUAGAUUUAAAGUAAUUAUUGAUAAGGUGGGAUUUAUAUCUGUCACUUCUCUAUUUGUGUUUUAUAUGCUUUUUAAAUCUUCAUUUCUGCCAUUACUGCUUUUUUGUGUUAGUGUUAGUUGAUUUUUUUAUCAUGAAACGUUUGAUUCCCCUCUCAUUUCCUUUUGUGUAUAUUCUAUAGAUAUUUUAUUGGUGGUUACCAUAGGUAUUACACUCAACAUCCAAAAGUUAUAACAAUCUAAUUUGAAUUGAUACCAAUUAACUUCAAUAUCAUACAAAAACUCUGCUCAUGUAAAGCUCUGCCCUUUCCUUUCUGUUACUGAUGUCACAGAUAACAUUUUAUACAUUGUAUAUCCAAUAACAUAAUUUUUUUUUUUGAGACAGUCUCGCUCUGUCACCCAGGCUGGAGUGCAAUGGUGCAAUCUCAGCUCACUGCAACCUCUGCCUCCCGGGUUCAAUUGAUUCUCCUGCCUCAGCCUCCCGAGUAGCUGGGAUUAUAGGCACCCACCACCACGCCCAGCUAAUUUGUUUCUAUUCUUAGUAGAGAUGGAGUUUCACCAAUAUUGGUCAGGCUGGUCUCAAACUUCUGACCUCAGGUGAUCCACCCACCUCGGCCUCCCAAAAUGCUGGGAUUACAGACAUGAGCCACCACGCCCAGACAACAUAAAUAUUUUUUAUGCAUUUCACUUUUAAAUCAGAGAAAAUAAAAAGUGGAGUUACAAAUCAUAAUUAUAAUAAUUGCUUUUAUAGUUGCCAGUGUAUUUGACUUACUAGAGAUCUUUGUUUCUCUGUAUGGCUUUGAGUUACUAUUGAGUGUACUUGCACUUCAAAAUGUCGGUUUCUCUUUAGCAUUUCUUGAAGGGCAGGAAUGCUGGUGGUAACGAACUCCCUUGGCUUGUCUUUAUCAGGGAAUGUCUUAACUUCACCCUCAUUUUUGAAGAACAAUUUUGCCAGAUAUAGAUUUUUCCAUGACAGUUUUUUUUUUCUUUCUUUCGAGCCUCUGAGGAUUCUUUAUUGGGUGAUAAUCUUAUUGCAAUCCUUUGUAUGGGACAAGUUGCUCAUCUCUGGCUGCUUUCAGGAUUCUCUUUUUUUUUGGCUUUUCACAGCUUAAUUAUAAUAUAUUUGGUGGUUUCUUAGUAUUUCCUAUCAGGAGUCUGAUAAGCUUCUUGGAUUUGUAUAUCAUGUUGUUAAUAGAGUUUGGAGAGUUUUGACCAUGAUUUCUUGCAAUAUUAUUUCUGCCCUUUCUUCUCCUUUGGAACUCCCACAAUUCAUUAUGUUUGUCCUACUGAUGGUAUCCCACAGGGUCCCUUAGGCUUUAUUUACUGUUCACUUUUCUUCAUUCUUUUUUCUUCCUAUUCUUCAGAUGGAGUAGGAGUCAAAAGGAAUCCACCUCUCCACCUAGACAACAGUUCUACCAGCAGCAACUCUCUGAAGUAACUAUGUUGGAACUCUGGAGUCUAUUCGAAUGCUUACAUCUUCCAAGGGAAAGCUGGGCUGGUAAAUAGAGGUUAAUUUCAGUCUCUGUCAGCUUUAGUGUGAUACCAGCUACUCAUGCAGUGUUACUUAACCCUGUAGCACGCAGCUGUAUCCACAUUCCUGGUGCGGCUUGCUGGAGGCUGGGUGGGCGAUACGAACUUUGUCCUCCAAAUACUGGCUGUCGACACUCUGGUUGUUGAUGACUGAAGUGCAGGUGCAGAGGCAGGUUGCCACUGUUUUGACCCCCCACCAGCUGAACCUCUUUCCAAGGGUUUUAAAAGAAUAGCACCUGUUUUGUUUGUUUGCUUCCCUUUUACUCCAUUUAUGAGUCAGAUAUUGAAGGAUUAGGAUAUUCAAAAGCAAUCACUUAGGCAGGGGAAAGUAGAAAGCUACUGCAUAUAACCAGGGAAAGACACAGGCUAAGAAAAGACCUGAGAAAACCUUAAGCUUUCACCCGAGGCUGAUCCUGAUCCCCAGCACAGAGACAAUUACAAAAGCCCAGCAAACAUGGGGGCAGGAGAAUCUUAUUUUCAGAUUCACCACAUUAUGAGAUUCAAAUGUUCAAUUUUCAACAACAACAAAUCAUAAGGAUUUAAAGUGAAGCCAAAUGUGGUGGCAUGUGGUUGUAGUCCCACUUAAUUGGUUGUUACUGGGCAACAUAGUGAGACCCCAUCUCUAGUUGAAAAAUAAAAUUUUUAAAAAAAUCACAAGACAUACAAAUAAACAGGAAAGUAUGGUCAAUUCAGAAGAACAAAAUAAAUCAACUCAAACUAUUCCCACAGAAGCCAAGAUAGAUGUCUGAGUUAAUAGACAAAGGCUUUAAAACAACUAUUUUGAAGUCGUUCGAAGAACUAACAGGGCUGGGCGUGGGGUGGCUCACGCCUGUAAUCCCAGCGCUUUGGGAAGCCAAGGUGGGCAGAUCACCUGAGGUCAGGAGUUCGAGACCAGCCUGGCCAACAUGGUGAAACCCUGUCUCUACUAAAUACAAAAAUUAGCUGGGCAUGGUGGCGUACGCCUGUAAUCUCAGCUUUUCAGGAGGCUGAGGGAGGAGAAUUGCUUGAACCUGGGAGGCGGAGUUUGCAGUGAGUUGAGUUCCUGCCACUGCUCUCCAGCCUGGGUGACAGAGUGAGACUCUAUCUCCAAAAAAAAACAAACAAACAGAAAAAGGACUAAAGGAAGACAUGAACAAAGUCAGGAAAACAAUGUAUGAAUAAAAUUAGACUAUCAUUAAAGAGAAAUUAUAAAAAGGAGCUGAGGCCAGGUGUGAUGGCUCAUGCCGGUAAUCCCAGCACUUUGGGAGGCCAAGGCUCGUGGAUCAUGAGGUCAGGAGUUCGAGACCAGCCUGGCCAACAUGGUGAAACCUCAUCUCUACUAAAAAUACAAGAACUAGCUGGGUGUGGUGGCAUGCCUGUGUUCCCAGCUACUCAGGAGGGUAAGGCAGGAGAAUCACUUGAACCCAGGAGGUGGAGGUUGCAGUGCACCCAGAUUGCACCACUGCACUCCAGCCUGGGUGACAGAGCGAGACUCUUAGAAAAAAAAGGAGCUGAAAUGAAAUUCUAGACCUGAAAGAUACAGUAACUGAAAUGAAAAAUUUACAUAGAGGGGUUCAAAAACAGAUUUGAAUGAGCAGAAGAAAGAACCAGCAAAUUUGAAUAUAUUUCUUUGUAAAAUACCCGCGGAACCCUGUUCCUUCGUUUUACCUCCUGCUUCCUUAGCUCAAGCCUUCCUCAUCUUAGGCAGCCUCCAAACUAUUCUAUCAACCUCCCCUUUUCCCUGCUCUAGUUUUACUAGAGUGAUCUUUAAAAAAACCCCAAAUCUAAUAUUGUCACUGUCCUUUAAAAUAUCCAAGGGCACCCGUGUGUCUAUAGAGUGAACUUCAGUUUCCUUAUUUUAGCAUUCAAGGACCUUCCUAUUUUGGCUCCAGCCUACUACAUUGCUUUAUUUCACACCAGCCCCACAUUCCAUUCAUAUACUGUAACCACAUUUUCUUGGGUACAAAGUCACUUACUGAAAAAAAGUUGAGCAUAUUUGGAAACCAAAAUUCAUUUUCUGUGAAUGGGAUAUCAAUAUAUAGCAUUGGUAGGCAUUGAAACAGACUAUAGUCUAUUUUUAAAAUGGAUUAGAUGAUAAAAACAACAUGUAUGUCAUCACUAAUCCAGUGGUCAAUAUUAGCAUAACUCUGUAAGAUACAAUAAAUGUUAUAUCUAUUGUAGAUACAAUGUUAUGUAUCUAACAUAAUAUCUAACAUGUUAGAUUCAUAACGUUGUAUGUAAUAUAAUGAAACAUGAAGUAUAACCUGUCACUUGUGAGGUAUACUAGUCUGAUAUGUUUGACUUGAAUCCACUGAGUCUUCAAAUAUAACUUUCUUGUUCAAGAAAUACAAGGCUUGCAGGAACAAGCUCAAUGACUUCAUGAGGAAGCAACCACUCAGAUAAAAACAUUUUGCACUUCAAGUGGCCUGAUUUCUACAGUGAACAAGAAUCUUUUAAUUUUUUUUUAAGUGCCAUAAUUAAAAAGUCAAGGGAUGUAACCAGAUGGAAUGUAUGGUCCUGAAUUGGAUAAUUUGGGUAUACUGGUUGUAGAAAAAUAUAAUUUGGUCAACAGAAUAUUUGAUUGUAGUUAGGUAUUAUGUGAGAGGAAAUUUUCCUGUAACAUUACUGAGUUAAGAAAGCCAACUGUAAAAAUAACUUUAGAUGGAUAGAAAAUGUGAAUGUGAUCUAGGAAUUAGGUGAGAAGAAAAUGUACUGAAAUAAGGUAGAUAUUUUUAAUUGAAAAAGGAGAUGACUAAAGUGAUCUCAUUUUGAAAAAAAAAAUACACACACACAGAAGGAUAUACUCUAAAGUAUUAACAUUGGCCCUGGGAAUGCCAUGGUUUUUUUUUGUUUUUCAUUAAAACAUAGAGACACGGUCUCACUAUGUUGCCCAGGCUGGUCUCGAACUCCUAGGCUCAAGCCAUCCUCCCACCUCAGCCUCCCAAAGUGUUAAAAUUACAGGCAUGAGCCACCACACCUGGCCUUUUUUAUUAAAAAAAAUUUUUUUUAAAUGCAAUGUUUUCUUUUUUUGUUGUUGUUUUAGCUUGUGUCUAUUCUCCAAAGCAUGUUGUACUGAUUGUGUAGUACAAUUUUAUUUAAAAAUGUAUGUUAAGAUUUACAUAAAUAUUUGGGGUGUCCAUGAAUCAAGAAAUACAUGAAAGUAUGGGCACCAAAACGUUAAAAGUGGUUUUGUUGGGAGUUCAGGGGAUUUUACUUUCUCCCUAAUACUUUAUUCUUUGAAUAUCUUGAAAUGGAUAUUUUGUAACUGUAUAAGGAGAAAGGAAGCGAAACUAUUUUUCUGCAGGGGUACACCCACAUCUAUUGUAUUAGACAAAUCACAGAGGGAUUGCAACAGAACACAGAUUUUUCUCACUGUUUUUUCUCUGGUUGAUCGGGAUGCAUUAUCCACCAGAAAACACUGUAGACGACUCACUCACCAGGAAAAGAGCAUAUGCCAGUUGGAAUAAAUAAAGGGGAAGAGUAAGGAAGAGGCUGUAGAAUUAUUUUAUAAAUUAUCAAGUCUUAUGAGCCAGGUGCAGUGGUGCAUGCCUAUGUACAGUCCCAGCUACUCAGGAGGCUGAGGUGGUAGGAUAGCUUGAGCCCAGGAGUUCGAGGGUGGAGUGUGAUAUGAUCGUCUGUGAAUAGCCACAGCACUGCAUCCUGGACAAGAUAGGGUCUCUUUAAAAAUAAGACUUAACUAGCACUUUAAUAAUCAUUGUUUUUGUUCCCAACUGCAUUGUACAUUCAUUGAGGACAGGGACUUUAAACUUCAUUAUAUUGCUGUUGCUGUGUUUCACCUUUGAAUGAUUUUUAAAUAAAAAUCUCAUCUUUGAGUCA